AAAAGACAGAAGUAAAAAGAAUACAGAAAAAGAAGUCACCUCACAAGGCAGCAUCAGCUACAGCAAAGCAAAAACAGAAAAUCCAUGGUAAUGGUCGAUCAGUUGAAGUGCUUUUUGAAGGCUCCUCAGAUGAGUUAUGUGAUGAAGCAGCAUUACUUCGUGAACCAUUU